rnacentral:rRNA from 1 species
ACUCCUACGGAGGCAGCAGUGGGGAAUAUUGGACAAUGGGCGCAAGCCUGAUCCAGCAAUGCCGCGUGUGUGAAGAAGGCCUUCGGGUUGUAAAGCACUUUUAUCAGGAGCGAAAUGCCAUGGGUUAAUACCCCGUGGAGCUGACGGUACCUGAGGAAUAAGCACCGGCUAACUUCGUGCCAGCAGCCGCGGUAAUACGAAGGGUGCAAGCGUUAAUCGGAAUUACUGGGCGUAAAGGGUGCGUAGGCGGUUCGUUAAGUCUGUCGUGAAAUCCCCGGGCUCAACCUGGGAAUGGCGAUGGAUACUGGCGAGCUAGAGUGUGUCAGAGGAUGGUGGAAUUCCCGGUGUAGCGGUGAAAUGCGUAGAGAUCGGGAGGAACAUCAGUGGCGAAGGCGGCCAUCUGGGACAACACUGACGCUGAAGCACGAAAGCGUGGGGAGCAAACAGGAUUAGAAACCCCAGUAGUCC